rnacentral:rRNA from 1 species
UGGGGAAUAUUGGACAAUGGGGGCAACCCUGAUCCAGCCAUGCCGCGUGUGUGAAGAAGGCCUUUUGGUUGUAAAGCACUUUAAGCAGUGAAGAAGACUCCAUGGUUAAUACCCAUGGACGAUGACAUUAGCUGCAGAAUAAGCACCGGCUAACUCUGUGCCAGCAGCCGCGGUAAUACAGAGGGUGCACGCGUUAAUCGGAAUUACUGGGCGUAAAGCGAGCGUAGGUGGCUUGAUAAGUCAGAUGUGAAAGCCCCGGGCUUAACCUGGGAACGGCAUCUGAUACUGUUAGGCUAGAGUAGGUGAGAGGAAGGUAGAAUUCCAGGUGUAGCGGUGAAAUGCGUAGAGAUCUGGAGGAAUACCGAUGGCGAAGGCAGCCUUCUGGCAUCAUACUGACACUGAGGUUCGAAAGCGUGGGUAGCAAACA